rnacentral:rRNA from 1 species
CGGCGAACGGGUGAGUAAUACAUCGGAACGUGUCCCGGUAUGGGGGGAUAGCCCGGCGAAAGCCGGAUUAAUACCGCAUAUGCUCUACGGAGGAAAGUGGGGGACUCGCAAGGGGCCUCACGCUAUGGGAGCGGCCGAUGUCCGAUUAGCUUGUUGGCGGGGUAAUGGCCCACCAAGGCGACGAUCGGUAGCUGGUCUGAGAGGGCGCACGGCCACACUGGAACUGAAACACGGUCCAG